rnacentral:tRNA from 1 species
UAUAUUUUAGUGUAAGAUGCACAAAAGAUUUUGAUUCUUUUGGAUUAAGUUUAAUUCUUAAAAAUAUAG